rnacentral:rRNA from 1 species
GACGAACGCUGGCGGCGUGCCUAAUACAUGCAAGUAGAACGCUGAAGAGAGGAGCUUGCUCUUCUUGGAUGAGUUGCGCACGGGUGAGUAACGCGUAGGUAACCUGCCUUGUAGCGGGGGAUAACUAUUGGAAACGAUAGCUAAUACCGCAUAACAAUGGAUGACACAUGUCAUUUAUUUGAAAGGGGCAAUUGCUCCACUACAAGAUGGACCUGCGUUGUAUUAGCUAGUAGGUGAGGUAAUGGCUCACCUAGGCGACGAUACAUAGCCGACCUGAGAGGGUGAUCGGCCACACUGGGAAUGAGACACGGCCCAGACUCCUACGGGAGGCAGCAGUAGGGAAUCUUCGGAAAUGGGGGCAACCCUGACCGAGCAACGCCGCGUGAGUGAAGAAGGUUUUCGGAUCGUAAAGUUCUGUUGUAAGUCAAGAACGGGUGUGAGAGUGGAAAGUUCACACUGUGACGGUAGCUUACCAGAAAGGGACGGCUAACUACGUG